AGAAAGUUGGCUUUGUUUAAAAAACACUCACAGGACAUCCUGCCACGUUCAAGCGGUGUCAUUUUCCUGUCUUCAGUUGUUCCUUUGUUGAACAAGGACAAAAAGGGAACCUGCCACAAUUGGGAAGAAGAGCCAUCCUUGAAGCUGCAGAAGUGGGAAUUCAGUUCUGACCACUGGUAGCAAAGACAGGUGUGUUGAACUCGCCCAUCCCCCACUGAAGCAGACAUUGUCACUGCCCCACCCUGGGGUCGCCUGGGGCUUUGGCAGACAAUUCCUGUGCACACUGGCUUUCUCUCUCAGGCACCCGGGUCUGGAUGCCUGAGGGCUUUUUCUGCCACAGUAUUGUGCCGGCCCACCAACAAGACCAACCCCCCAGGACAGCCCUCCAGAGAUGAGGGACAGGAGCUAGUAGACAAAUCCACCAGCCCCCCAACUCCUGGUGGGUCAACUGGAAGUGUGUCCUACACAACCUCUCAGGGGGGCCCCUGCAGGACUGAGGCCCAGUGGCCCUCAGAGGUAACUGCUCAUUAACUUACCCUUUUUGGCUUUUUCUCUCUUCCCUGUCUCACUUCCCCACUUCCUCACUCUGCUUCCUGGGAUCACUUUCCAAAUACACUAUUUGCCGCAAAUCCUUUGCCUCAGGGUCUACUUUUGGGGGAGCCCAACUAAGACAUCUAUCAAAAUUUUAGAUAAGUAAAGACUCUAAAGGGAUUCUAUUACUACUUUUCAGCAGAAAUGUAUGGGUCAUCCUUAGAAAGACCCAAAGAAAUCAAAAUGGUGAGAGUUGUACCAAAUACUGGCUCUGUUCUCACAUAGUGUCACCUGAAUGUACCACGCCUCCCUAAUUAUAUUGCAAACACACUGUGACUGAGACCAUGGGGGCAGGGAGCUGAACUCGGUGCUAAAGCUAACAAAUAAAAAUGGCAAGCAAUAGGAUAUAUUGGAGUAUAUGAGGAAGCCAUUUGGUAUAAACCUAAUUCGGCCUGACCUUGUCUUUCCAAAAGGGCAUUGUAUAUCUGCUUUAGAGAUUCCCUAUGGCAAGAGCAAAGGCCCUUGAGAUAAAGGUGCAACUUCUCUCCCCCUCCCAGCGUUGGCAACUCCUUAAGGAUUAAGUAUCUUUCCUUAGGCUAGAAGCUGAUUGCUGCACUCACCUGUGACCGCCCAGCUCAAGACAAUAGGCUUGCCUCCUGCUAUGCCCACCAAGAUAGCAGACCCACUACCUGCUGUGUCCAUCAAGUGCUGUGCCGACAGGGCAAUCUUGUGACUAUUGUGGGAGGGACAUUUCAAUCGUAUGUGAAACACCCUCUUUGAGGGUAUAUAACCACCCUGUGUACCCCCACUUCUUUGGAGUGGCCUGUUCCUUUGUGGAAAGACUCUCCCGGGUUAUAAUCCUAAAAUUUAAGCUCAGAAUAAACUCAGCCAAAUUUUCCUUUAUAGAUUGGUUAUGGAUUAUUUUCGUCGACAGUUCUUGGCGUAGUCGCCGCAGGAUUUCAGAGAAACCCACCGGAGGCCAUCUGGAAUCUACACUGAACCGGUAUUCGGUACCAAUAAGGGCCCAUUGAGCCCCCCGGAUCACUGUAUUCUUCAGGUGACCUUGGUGAGUUCUCCUGAGACCCGGACCUCCUUAUUUUAAGUUGAUGGUCCAAGAGUUUAUAUGAGCUGGGUAAGGUCUUAAGAUUAGAGGUUUUGAGGAGUACCGGUACGUUUCCUAGGUGGAGAAAAACCUAGAGAGAAUUCCUAAGCUGCAGGAACUUAGAGGAGCUUGGAGUGAGCUGGGUUGGUUGUCCUUUUAAUUUGGCUUUAAA
rnacentral:lncRNA from 1 species